CAUUCAGUUCAGUCUUUCUCUGAGUUUGAAUUAACACCAACAAUGAUUCUCUAUUUACCCAUCUUGAUUAUAGCUCUCACAGGUUGCGUCUGUGGGAAAGAGAUCUCUCCCAGCAGCACUGAGAUAUUGGCAAACGAGGGAUCCACAGUUACACUCUCCUGUACCUACAAAUCUGCCUCGAGUCUACAGUGGUACCGCCAGGAUCCCAGAUCAGCUCCACAGUUCCUACUGCUCAAGUUCAACUCCCCUGGGAAAGAGAGCUCUGAAACAGAUCCUCGGUUGUCUGUGAGGGUCAGUGAAGAGAAAACUGAAGUCUCUCUGCAGAUCUCCUCUGUUCAAGUCUCUGACUCUGCACUGUACUACUGUGCUCUGACGCCCACAAUGACACAAAAGCACAACUCUCCCUACAAAAACCUAACAGAGUGA